GACGUAGGGCGCGAGCGUUGUCCGGGUUUAUUGGGCGUAAAGAGCUCGUAGGCGGCUCAUUGCGUCAACCGUGAAAACCAGCAGCUCAACUGUUGGCUUGCGGUUGAUACGGGUGGGCUGGAGUUCGGUAGGGGAGACUGGAAUUCCUGGUGUAGCGGUGAAAUGCGCAGAUAUCAGGAGGAACACCGGUGGCGAAGGCGGGUCUCUGGGCCGAUACUGACGCUGAGGAGCGAAAGCGUGGGGAGCGAACAGG
rnacentral:rRNA from 1 species